rnacentral:rRNA from 1 species
UACGUAGGUGACAAGCGUUGUCCGGAUUUACUGGGCGUAAAGAGCGCGCAGGCGGUCGUUCAAGUCGAGUGUGAAAGCCCCCGGCUCAACUGGGGAGGGUCAUUCGAUACUGAUCGACUCGAAGGCAGGAGAGGGUAGUGGAAUUCCCGGUGUAGUGGUGAAAUGCGUAGAUAUCGGGAGGAACACCAGUGGCGAAGGCGACUACCUGGCCUGUUCUUGACGCUGAGGCGCGAAGGCGUGGGGAGCGAACGGG